GAAAGAUUAAUUUAAUAAAAAUAUUAUCUUGUCAAGAUAAAAACACAUACAAAUAUUGUAUCUUUCU
rnacentral:tRNA from 1 species